GGCGUUUACAAAUUUUACUUUUCCUAAAGAAGUUAAGAAGUGUGUUUCUUUAAAGGAGUUGAGCUUCUCUAUGGAAGAUAUCGAUGGUGAAGAUGUCAAGUCAUGCAAUAUGAUAAACACAGAGUUGAGACAAAAAUCAUCAGAUUUCGAAUAUAUACCUUUGGGGACUUCUGAAUCAUUGGAUCUUUUUAAUGUGAUUAGGUUGCGAGAGGUUAGAGAACUAACUAUUCACCACUGUAAUAAUUUGACAUGCAUCAUUCCAGUGAUGUUCAUUCGAAAUUUUCCACAAUUAAGCUUUCUAGAGAUAAAGUCAUGUGAGAACUUGAAGCAAAUAAUUGGAAAUGAUGACAUUUUAGCAUCUUCAUCAUCAUCACAAGGUCCUCAUCUAGAAUUCCCUCGGUUAAAGCAAAUAGUACUUGAAAAUUUGUCAAAGCUCGAGAGCUUUAGCCCUGUGGGUUAUCAUCUAGAAUUCCCAUGUUUGGAUUUGCUUUACAUUAAGCAAUGUUCCAAGCUGAUCACAAGUUUCAGUGCAGAUUAUUUAACGUUGAUUGUGCAUGCUAAAACUGAUCAGACAUCUCAGCUAAAUGAUACCAGUCCUUCACGAGAAGCUAUAUUCUGGAGAAGGAGAAGCCCUACCUUACUACCUCAGUAUAAAGAAGAAGCUGAAGAAAUUUCAUCCUUUAAGUGAAAAAUGUUGCAGAAAUCAUUCUUGAGCCUAAAUCAAGUCGAUUGUACCAACAGUCAACACUAGUUAAUUAACUAGAAAUAAAUGAGCAUUCAAAAGCUAAAAUCUUGACAGAAAUAUUUGGAUUCUACUUUGAGGGAUUACACACUAUGCCAGCCCUCUAAUUUAGGGGACUGCUUCAUCUCUACCGUAAUGGUGGUGUUGCUAAUUUGCCUGCAAUCGAAGAGAAGUAUGGUCAGUACAUGGCCUUGCAUCAAGUGAUGAUGAUUGGGAAUGGGCAAGUUCCAUUACUGGCUAUUUCAAGCUAUUUACUGAAACCAUUAAUGUCUUCUCUAGUAACAAAAGUCCUACUACAAAUGUAUAUUUUCCUGAAAUCGGUCAUGUUUACAUACUAUUGAUUGAAUUGUGCAAGAGACCUAAUACUUUUCUUAGUUCAUUGGCAUCAAAGAUGAAAGCAAAGUUUUAUAAAUAUUAGGGGAUCAGAUGCAUACAAGAUUGGUUGCAGAA